rnacentral:rRNA from 1 species
UACGAAGGGGGCUAGCGUUGUUCGGAUUUACUGGGCGUAAAGCGCACGUAGGCGGCUUGUUAAGUCAGAGGUGAAAUCCCGGAGCUCAACUCCGGAACUGCCUUUGAUACUGGCAAGCUCGAGUGUAGCAGAGGUUGGUGGAACUGCGAGUGUAGAGGUGAAAUUCGUAGAUAUUCGCAAGAACACCAGUGGCGAAGGCGGCCAACUGGGCUAUAACUGACGCUGAGGUGCGAAAGCGUGGGGAGCAAACAGG